GUCCCAGUUCGGAUCGCAGGCUGCAACCCGCCUGCGUGAAGUUGGAAUCGCUAGUAAUCGCGGAUCAGCAUGCCGCGGUGAAUACGUUCCCGGGCCUUGUACACACCGCCCGUCACACCAUGAGAGUCGGGAACACCCGAAGUCCGUAGCCUAACCGCAAGGGGGCGCGGCCGAAGGUGGGUUCGAUAAAUUGGGGUGAAGUCGUAACAAGGUAUC
rnacentral:rRNA from 1 species